rnacentral:lncRNA from 1 species
GCCCUCAUUUCUCAUCCUUGACAAAGAGACAGCAAAGCUACAGUAAUUCAGAAACGUCACUCUAGGCACUCACGUCGUGACCUAAUUGAUGAUGUUAGUUCAAGUGACCAAUGAGAAGACAACACAUAAGCUCAUUCAUUUUGGGUGAUAGUUUUGAGUUGCGCAGGUAUUUUCUUUAAUCUUUUGGUGGCAAUAUGAAUAGGCCCACGUGCUUGGACCGCUACCACAAGUCAUCUCAAAAAUCUACAGCCGCCCAUUCUAGGCCCAAGUCAAGCAAUAGAGACGGAAACUGGCCAACAACUUAUCCCAUAUGAGUGAAAAAGAUAAGAAAACCGACUCAUUUACGGUGCGCACGGCAUGAUAGAUGGCCAACAAAUAACAGAUAUCAUGCAAAUGUGCAGUCCAUAUCCACAAAAAUGGUUUGCUGUCAGAAUGAACGGCCAGCAUGAUGCACCGCAACACGUCAUAAAGGAUUAAUUUGCGCAUAUAGA